AUCGAUAGUUCCAUUCAUAACUAAAAGACAAGCUGCAGCUAGAAGACAAAUAGAGGCAGAAAAGGCUUUUUCGCUUCUAACUCAUGGAAGAUCAGGUGGAUGUAACUAAAACCGCAUUUAAAUCUACACCUAUCAUCUGAGGAUCUGCAUUAAAACGCAAUUCUGACUUCAAGAAUCACAGACUGCAGCUCCCCUCGGUAAAACGCUCCGGCUGUUUCGUCAAGCACCGCGCCGGGCGAGAGCUCUGCACUGCCGCACCGCCAGCCUCCGCCAAAGGCAGCGAGGGGAUGAGCAGGAGACGGUGUUUCGCGACCAGAAGAGCGCCCGGCUAUUCGGGAAGGACGAGAAUAGCAGGCCCAAACCCGUGUGCGAUUCUUAUCACGCUUAUGGACUGUAAAUACACGCCUUGUCAAACUGUAACAGGAGGCAUUCACAUGGCUUCAAUACCAAUGGAUUUGCUGGUCUUGGGACAGACCAAAUGGCACAAAUGCCAAGGGCUAUUAUUUACUCCUGUCCUAAUCUGCUUCUCCAGUGCAUUUCCUGACUAACAAAGCAUUUUGCAGUAAGAGUUCUGAAAGAGUGAAUAUAUUUACAGUCAUAAUUAAUGAUAGUUAUGUAAAUACUGAUACAUUGCAUAUCCUUCUAUUCAAAACCAAAAUAUUCUGAUCUCUGGUGAGCCAAGUAUUUCCUGCCACUGACUGAACAAGUGUAAACGAGCCAACUGCAACCUUGCAGGGUUUUCUUCUGGAUGUAGAAACAAAAUCAAAGAACUAAAGCUACAACCAUACUUUGCUCUCAAUUAGAAACUUAAAUGUAAAACGCCUCUCUCUGAAGCUCCUUGCUCCUCUCAUUUACCUAAGUAACUAUGCCUCAGAAUGCCCAGGGCAGAGUUUCACUGAGCAGGGCUCUGUCUCAGGCUAACGAAAUACAUCAGAAAGCAUUACCUUUUCUGCAGAUCCCGGAAGAAGUCGAUUAAUGAGUUUACAAAGCACAGUUCCAUCUUUCAGAGAAGUUUUCAGGAACUCCUCCGGAUCAUCUACUAUUUUCUUAGGAGAAUUUAAGACUCCUAGUGAAAUAAGCCACGUUACAAUCUGUUCUUCUGGAUUCAUGGCGGACAGAUCUGCCGCCAGUGCUGUUCUCCUGUGCAACAGCGUACUGGAACCCACAUCCGUGAUUACAUCUUCCUGAUGCAGCUCAACUGUGAAACUACGGGGUUUUUUUGGUUUUUUUUUUUUGUUUUUUUUUGUUUUUUUUUUUUGCUUGGUACAAAAACCAAAUCUUAGGAACCAAAAGUAGCUACUCUAAGGUAGCCAAGACAACUGCGAAUGCUGAUUUCUCAAUGGGGACAUGCAUUUGGAUAUAGAAGACACUUCAGUCACCUCAUCAGAACACAGCAGUUUCUGAUAUAAAGAGACAUACUUCCAACACUGGGACAACUCCACACCUGCUUCACUGAAGUCAGUGUUACAAACCUGAACACCCAAGUACUUCACCCACUCCCUCCUCUAAAGGAAACCUUUGGUAUAGAUGGGUGGGCUUAGUUUUAUUAUUAUUUCACAUGCAGCUGCUGCAGCCAAGCAGAUAUUAAUGGCUGCAACUACAAUUAAAUGAAAAUACUUCCCACAUCUUGAACACUUACCAACUGCUUGAAAGACGUGCAGAUUUGGAUAUUCAGAAAGCCCAAAAAUUCAUGGAGUUUUUGAUUAGUCACUUCAAUCCCAACCUUACAUCUUUUAGAAAGGACUCAUCUAAACACAUUCCAGCUUGUUUACCCAUGCCCGCACCGAAAUUAAUUCUGUGGCAGACCCAGGGUAUGAAGGUAGAGCCAGUAAGGAAGGAACAGCAUCUGGUCUGGUCUUUGGAAAGACUUCAACUUUGGCUAUUUGCUGAUAGCAACAAAUCAAGUGAAUCGUCGAUCACCUCUUGCAGAGUUAUAAAUACUUAUUUACAGCCUGAUUUAUACCAGUGAUGACUAAUAGCACAGUGUUAUUUUAAAAGGGGCAGCAUACACAUCACAACAGCAUGGCGACAGGAACAAUGUAAGAACAGCAGUCACAUGUUCAGACACCAUUUUUGAGUGGUGCUUCUCAAAGUCACACAUAAGCUUAAGUAAUUAACUCUUUUUUUCCAGCAGAGGGAAAAUACUCAACCACAAAGAACAGCACUGGAGUAUUUGUCUGCUGCAAAAUCUACUGAUACAUUUCAACUGGUAGCUUUCAAUGAUGAAGUUUGACUUGGUGCAUGAGUCAAUACUGUAGAUCAGGGUACAUUCUCAUUAAUUAGGAUUUUAGGUAGGCAUUGAUCUUACAGUAGCUGCCAUUUUGGCAUUACACUUUAGGUAGGAUGAUCCAGUUCAGCCUGAACAGCAGCACUGAAGACUGUAGGUUACUGCUGAAAAAGGAGCCUGGUAGUACAGCAUGUCAGCCUUUCUUGCAGAAGAGAUACUGAGAUCACUUUGUAACAAUAACCCUCCAAGAUGUAACACUAGUAAAUCUUUACCACUAUCCAAGUGUCUGAGUAAGACAUGUUUUUUCUCUUUAAUUAGACAAAAAACCCCCAAACCCAUAAUACUUGUUAACAGUAAAUUUAUUUGCCCUGGGAAAGAUGCAAUUCUAUCCAUCUGCUACACAGAUUUACUCCUAGAAUCUGCAGCCCAUAACUGAAGUUUAAAGUGAUACCCUUAUCCCCAAACCCAAAGUUUUAAAUCUGCAGACAAGGUAUGCAUGCUUUUUCUUCUUUAGCUACUCAUUAUGAACCGAAUGUUGCUUAAAUGAAAUCAGUUUAUGUUUAUCACAAAAGUCAGUAUAAAUUUUAUUAUCCGUGAUUGUUUAAGUACUUCAGUUAAAUUACGAGUUUUCUACAUGAAAUACCAAUGCCUGAGGAUUCCUCUCACAUAUAUUGGCACAUCAACAUGUACGCAUAAGAAAAAUGCAUCAAAAUCAAGACAAAGUUUUGAAUGAAGCACUUACUCCCAAGAGAUGCAGUGCUGUCUAGUGUACAUACAGGAACACUAAUUAUUCUGGGCAUUCAUCACUAACAUUGUCUCAGUACACCAACACUCCCCAUCUCUCAUCCAGAAGGUCUAGACAAAUCCGUUAAUGUAAUACAGCAGAACUUUUCAUGGUUUCUUAGUCAAGUCCUCUGUAUUUAAGAGGACUAAGACUCACUUCUGUGUAACUUGCUCUUUUUUCACUAUAAAUGGCAAGCACACACAUGGGCAACCCAAGUACUUCUCUGCUGCAGGAUGUGUGUGCAAUGAAUGGGCUCACUCUGGACUGUUGGAAGGUGCCAGCUACUGCAGACAGUGGUUGGCUUCCACCAGGAAUUUUAUAUACGUCCAAGAGAUCAGUAGUGCUACUUUCAAAGGCAACUCCUGAAUGCUUAUGCAAUCCUCUAGAAAAUGGUGGGCAACACUACACUUAAAACUCAGGCUGUAUCAGCUGUGAUUUGUUAUUCUUCAAUUUUCCAAUGCAUAUCCACUGUUGCACUGCCACCUUCUAGUCACCGUAACUGGAAAAAGGAAAUGCAAGUUAGUACCCUCUCAGAAGCCAAGAGACAAAAAAGAUACAUUAUCUUUGAAUUAGUUUUAUAUACACAGUGAAUACAUUGGGAUUGUAUUUGAUCUGUUCCAACAGUAUGAAAGCACAUCAAUAGCUAACUACAAUAAUCAAAAUGCCCUGAGGACAACUUGUAUUAAUGCACACUCCUUGUGUGACACUGUCUCCAGAGCAGGUAUUAAGUACUGCAAUUCCUGUGUGUAUUCCCUCUCCAAAUUCCACCCACCACAAAAUCCCACCAGCUCUUGAUAACCUCAGCAUGCUGCUCAGGAGUUCAGUAAUACACUGGUAUACAUACUGGUACUAACUUGUAAGUAAUAAUGUGCUAUAAAUUAAAUAAAACUUGUGACCAAGGGAAGGUAGACAGCUGGCAAUUCCAAUCCUGAUUUUUCACAAACUUAUUAUUACCUUCCUUGCCGUAAGUUAAGGUCUAUUUACUGUUCCCUUAACAUUGGCACCAUGUCUGUUAAGAAUCUGGAAACAUUUAUAAACUGAAGACAAGGCUAAUAAGAGUGCGCUUUUGUCUCUAAUAUCUGUAUUUAUUACAACAUGGUCAAAACAGAUUUACUAAACUGAAAAAAAGCACUAAUUUUUUCAAAAGAAAAGGGAAGCUUUUUCACUUGUCAAGAAUAAUUAAGCUUCAGCUUCCCAGCUAACAGAGAGAACUGAGGCGCAAACAUAUGGAAUUUUAACGUGUUCUGACACAACCUAUACGAUGAUUUGUCAAUACCUUUUUAAGUCUCCUAGAAUGCUGUGUAUUAAAGACAGUAUUUGGUUUCUUCAUUAGAGGAUUUAAGACCUGGGUCAAACUAUAAAUUUAAAAACUGACUCCUAAUGGUUUUUUGCAAGUGGGUGGGGGAGUGAAAGGGAAGUGCUACUUUUAGACAUAUUUCCCUAAUCCACUUCAGUGCCACACUAGUGACAUCAGUGAUUUUUGAAUGAAAAAGGUUAGGUUUUUUAACCUUUAGAAACACCUAUUGUUCAGUGUCCUUUCAGUAAGACUCAAAUUUAAGUACUUCAACAGUCACAUUUUAAGAGGAAAACAAAGACAGCAUUUGCUAGUGGAAAUUUUAUCAAGUGAUAGAAAAAUAAAAAGCUGGUUGGGGAGUAACUUUUGUUUUGCUUAACUACAUGCUUCCCCUGAACAGAAAACACUCGUGAUGAUUCUGUAUUUAAUCUGAAACACAAUCCAGUACCCUGAAACAAAGCAUAUUUUUCCUUCAUUAUCAAGGUAACAGCAUCAAUUUAUCAGGAGUAUUUAUAAAACGUUACUGGCAUAUUCUGACAAUGGCAUUGCACAGUUAUUGAGUUGCUGUUACUGAGACUCUAUAUAAUAACUUGUAACCCAACUGAGGCUACAAAAUCACACAGUAUACAACAGAUCCUAUCCUUCCCACAAGAUAGGAUUUCCUUGGUAACAGUGACCACCUGUCAGAUAAACCAACUGUACAAACAACAGCUUUUUCUUUUUUACCUUUUAAAAGUUGUUUCUUAGAAGUAGAAUUUGAAACUAACAGCAAAAUAAGUUCUUACAUUUACAAACUAUUUAAAAAAUUACAUAAAAGAGUACACAUGCUUCUUUACAUAAAUGCUUCUCUUGGAAAAGGUAGUUAUCCUUAUCCUCUAACUUGUACUAGAUUUUAUCAAAUUCUGCACAGACUAUAAAUUACUUCCAUUUUUUUACCAACAGUUAUUUAGUAGAGAAAUAUUCCAGAAAGCUGUGUUAGAAUGACAGCCACUACCAAUUUUUCCUUAUGAGUUUUCAGAGAAACAGGAGAGUCACGCUUUCACAUAAAAUCUGAAGAUAGCUGCUCUUGAAUCGACUUAAAUAGUAAUUUUAAUAGGGUAGACUUCAGAGCCAUGAAACACAGUCGACCUAGUCUUAAAUCAUUCUGGAGAUGCCUGAAGUCUGCAAUUUAAUCCCAGGACCUCUGCAGAGAUCAAUUCCUAAUCGAAGAUUAUACUCAGUCUAAUUGCCCAUCCUGCAUGUUAAACAAGACUGAUUAAAUAUCUAUACUGACAUUCAUUAUUACAAGUCAGAUUUUUAUGGUCUGCUCUUACAAAAAUUCAUACUCAGUACUUUCUGCUACAUGAUGUAAAGUGCAAUUGUAAACAUGUUUUUCUUCAGCUGUACCCAAAUCGGACCCGUUUUUGCAGCCAAGUAGUGUCUUGCUGCCAUUCCUAACCUGGCUGGCUUACAAAGCCUUCUUAAACCUCCUCCUCCAAAAUUUAAACAGAAGUCAAAAAUAAUACUUAGCCAUGAAGAACACCCAUUCAAACCCACAAACACAAUGACCAGGAAACUUCCUUGCAGCUAUUACACUGCUGUAAUAUCUACCUUACAUAUUGGUACAGGCACCACUCAUGUCUGCCAUCAACACAGAUGAAACAGCAUUAUUUCAGUGGUAUCUUCUAGAAGUUAUCUCCCUGCAAUUAAGAGAAGAUACAACAAGUUAAGAAAAACACGUUUUACAGCACAAGUUAACCUACAGUAAUUGCUUCCAUUUCAAAACAAUGGCACAAGUUUGGUUUGCAUAUUACUCGGUUGCAAGUUUUUACUACUUCUUUAAAUGGUGGAAGAUUCACUGGCUUGGAAUGGACUGGAAUGGCUUAGAGAGAGGUUGCAUGGCUUAGGGAUUCUCAUUCCUUUUCAAUGGUGCACUGCCAUGUUAAAUCCGUAAGUUGAAUAACAAAAUUUACUGAGGACUAAACAGUAGUACAAAGGUUUCGGGCUUGUGGUUUGGUUUUUAUUUUUAGUUGGAGGUCUUCAUGCUUACUAUAUUCAAGAGCAUCUUUUGAACUUCAUGGCUUUACCCGAGUUACAGCAACUUGCCACAGGUUCUGCUACAUGUACUGGGUAUCCCUGCAACGCAGUGUCAAACUAAACAGUUAGGCAUCCAACUAAAUGUCAAGUUUGCAUUUCUUGCUUUAAACUCCCAAUAGUUGAGCUGGUAUUUGUCAAUCUAAACCAAUUCCUGAUUUUGCAAGGCUUUAAUUUUGUUAACAUACUGUAUAUGCAGCCUCUUUAAACAUCUUCACUGAAAGAUACUGGUCACAAAAUACCCCCUCCCAUCUCUACAUAGGAAUAUUCCGUCUACAGUGAGCUGCAUUACAGCUUUAGUUUCAAAAUUGAAAUUAGGUGCUUUUUUGCAGUUUAGUAAAUGCUUUUAUCCAAGAAUUGUUGAAUUUGGAGAAUUUUUUAUGUAUUGAGGUAUUUAUCUUUUUUCUUUAAUCUAGACAGCACUUCCAUUGCCAUGACAUGCAGGUUGUCUUACUGUACUAGAAGAAGGUAAUUUGAUUCAAUUUCAAUUUAGACUGAAAAACUAGUUUGCUUUGCUUACCAUCUUCGCUGUUUCACAGGCAUUUGAUGCUUUAAAUCAGCUGUGGAAUGCUGAAAGAUUCACUUGAUUUUAGGAAGCCAUAAGCCUUUGAGAAGUUGGAGAGAAAGACUUCUUUGCUUAUUUUCUCCUUUGGAAUCAAAGAUGUUCCCUUAAAAGUGAAACACUACAGAGUUGCAAAAAUUUGAAACAGUAUGAGUAAGCAUCGUUUUGCAGCUUCUUUGAUGGAAUUGGUCAAUGGUUUGUGGUUUGGUUUUUUUAAACAGUAUUCUGUAGCUGACUUACAUGAACAUGAUUUUUUUGCAGGGGAGAUUUUUAAACUCCCCAUGAAACAGUAGGAAGGCAGAAUAUAGUAUUAUCCACUUGCUUUUUUGGCUUAAGUGAAUGAAAUCCUCUAUUUUUCUUUACAUAAUGAUCUGAAGGCAUUUUGUACUGGGAAUAUUGUGACUUCAAAUUCUAGGUACAACUGAGUUUUAUGUGGAAUCAUCCCCACCACCCUCCAAAUCACAUGCAAUACUUUCAGAAUGAGAUGUUGAACAUGUAGAACAAUCCAUCUCCAUGUUAGAUGGUUGGAUGUUGUG